UACGUAGGGUGCAAGCGUUAUCCGGAUUUAUUGGGUUUAAAGGGUGCGUAGGCGGGCUAUUAAGUCAGUGGUGAAAGCCCCAAGCUUAACUUGGGAACUGCCAUUGAUACUGAUGGUCUUGAGUACAUUUGAGGUGGGCGGAAUGUGUCAUGUAGCGGUGAAAUGCUUAGAUAUGACACAGAACACCGAUUGCGAAGGCAGCUCACUAAACUGUAACUGACGCUGAGGCACGAAAGCGUGGGGAGCAAACAGG
rnacentral:rRNA from 1 species